ACUGACCUGUCAGACGGUAAAGAAUCUGCUUGCAAUGCAGGAGACCUGGGUUCAAUCCCUGUGUCAGGA
rnacentral:tRNA from 1 species